GUGUCAGCAGCCGCGGUAAUACGAAGGGGGCUAGCGUUGCUCGGAAUUACUGGGCGUAAAGGGAGCGUAGGCGGACAUUUAAGUCAGGGGUGAAAUCCCGGGGCUCAACCUCGGAACUGCCUUUGAUACUGGGUGUCUUGAGUGUGAUAGAGGUAUGUGGAACUCCGAGUGUAGAGGUGAAAUUCGUAGAUAUUCGGAAGAACACCAGUGGCGAAGGCGACAUACUGGAUCAUUACUGACGCUGAGGCUCGAAAGCGUGGGGAGCAAACAGGAUUAGAUACCCUGGUAGUCCACGCCGUAAACGAUGAUUGCUAGUUGUCGGGGUGUUUACACCUCGGUGACGCAGCUAACGCAUUAAGUAAUCCGCCUGGGGAGUACGGUCGCAAGAUUAAA
rnacentral:rRNA from 1 species